ensembl:lncRNA
GCCCACUCCUCAGAAGAGUCUCGAAUUCUGUGCAAUACGUGUAAGAAAUCUGUAAUCAGGGUAACUUACAGUGGAUAAGAAUGUGAGGCUUGUUUGUAAUUAGGGAGGAGCUUCAAGUGACACUAACAAAAGAGUGCUUGUGUUGGCUUUACUACCAGGGAAAACAAAGUGUGCUAUCAGGAAGCACUGCACACAAAAUGGCUUCAUCUGAUAAAAUCAGAAUAAUUUCAGUUGGAAGGAACUUCUAAAGGUCACCCAAUCCAAAUCCCCUGCAAUGAACAGGGACGACUACAGGUUGCUCAGAGCGCCCCCACCCUGACGCGUUGAAUGUCUGCAGGGAUGGAGCAUCCACCACCUCUCCAGGCAACCUGUCCCAGCGCCACUACCCUGCUGGAGACUCUGUCCCCUUCUUUCUUACAGCCCCCUGUCAGAUUCUGAAAGGCUCCUCUCAGGUCUCCUCAGCACCUUCUCUUCUCCAGUCUGAACAGCCCCAUUUCUCUCAGUCUGUCCUCACAGGGAGGCAUUCCAUCCCUUGGAUCACUUACAUGGCCCUCGUCUGGAUGUGUUCCCACAGGUCCAUAUCUCCUUCAUAAAGAGGACUUCCUGUCUGGCCACAGCACUCCAGGUGAGGUCUCACAGUGCAGAGCAGAGGGCAGGAUCACCUCUCUCUCCCUGCUGACCAUACUCCAUUCGAUGCAGCUUUCGGUUAGCUUUCUGCGUUGUGAGGGCACACUGCUGACUCAUGUCCAUUACUUCCAAGUCCUUUUCACACAGGCUGUGCUCCAUCCUUAUAUCCUCCAGCUUGUAUUGGUAGUGGGGGUUGGCAUGACCCAUGUGCAGACCUCGUGCCUGGCGUUGUUGAACCUCAUGAGGUUCUCCUGGGCCCACUGCUCGAGCAUAUCUUUGGUAGAAUCCUCAGGUGUGUCAACCGCACCACACAGCUCGGUGUCAUCUGCAAACUGCUGAGGGUACACUCGAUCCAACUACCUAAAUCCACGUGCUAUCCUUUUUCCUUAACACCAGCCCAGCCCCAUGCCCAGGAGAUGGGCACAGCAGGUAGCCGGGGAGAUCUGGGUGAUGUGGGUCGGGUAAGAUGUGCGCUGCAAGCCAUAAGGUUUUGUAGGCUAUAAACUGCAUUGGCAGUUCUGCAGUCUCACCAGCCGAACAGGGGAAAGCUUUUGGUUUGUUUUACUUUCUGAGUGGAUUGAGGACUCACCCCAACAGCUCCCGUAUACCAUAAUGACGACCAAAACCAAAUCUGACAAAGGAAACAAUAGAUCCAGGGCAUGUUCAGACUGCGCGAGGAGCUCCGGGCCACGAAUUUUUCCACAAACGCAUUUUAAGGACUACUUCUGUGGGGAUUCAUUGCAUCUUCCCCACAGUUCGUGUUAAAUCCUGACUGGGGCGGGGCGGCUUUUUGUGUCGCCUUUUCUUUCGGUUGCACUGAGCUAAGUCUGACAGCGUAACGCGUCCCCUGGCUGCGGACGGCUGAUUCACAGCUGGGUCGGUCCCUGUACCAGUCGGCGGCUGCAGCCGGGCGCUAGAGGGCAACACGGCGGCUGAAGGCACAACAAAGCGCCCGCCGCCGCCAGGCCCAACGCCGCGCACCCGCUGAC